rnacentral:lncRNA from 10 species
UCCCAUUUCUCUAGGGGAGAGUGAGGAGGUUGCAUUGUGGAAGAGCAUGUGGGAUAGGAAAUACUGUUGCAGUUUAUCUUUGAAAAAUACAAUCGGCCACAGACUUCAGUGAUCUUCCGGUUACUAAAUCCAAGGGACAUGCCUUAGCCUACUUCUGCUGCUAUAGCAAAACACCUGAGACUAGAAGUGAAUAGCUAGAUCCAGCUCAUACUCAAGGGGAGGAGAUUACACAAGGGCAUGAACACCAGAAGGAGAGAUCACUGGGGGCCAUCUCAGAGACUAUAAGAGAGACCAAAGGAGAUGACUUACAGCAGGUGAUGUCUGAACUAGACUCUGAAGGAGUUAGCUAGGUGAAGAGUUACAGGACUGUCUUAGCAGAGAACGCUAUGUGUGAAGUAAUCUGGAAGGGAGAGAGUCUGAGGCUGGAGGAAUUCCACGCUCAGUAAGGCUGGAGGAUAGGCUGCCGUCUAUGUGGAGACUGGAGGUCCAUAAAAGCCCCGGGCUUAGCUAGAGCAAGAGAGGAGGGAGAGAACGGAGAGAAGAAGGCACAGGAAGACCAGCUGCAGAGAGGAGCUACCCUCUCUGCUGAGAGCUUCAGAGACCUGCAGAGACAUCCGGACUACCAGCUGCAGACAGGAGCAACCCUCUCCAGGGCCUCCUCUCUGCUGAGAGCAGCAGACGUCGGGAUAACCUGCCUACAGAAAGGAGCUACCCACUGUGGGUCUCCUCUGAGCCGUUCUAACACUUAAUAAAGCUCAUCUUCAUCUUGUUCACCCUUCACUUGUUUGCAUAUCUCAUUCUUCCUGGACACAGGACAAGAACUCAGGCUGGCCACAGAGGUUUCCAGCCAGAAAAUUGACACCUCAAAGAUUC